AACGCGAAGAACCUUACCUGGGCUCGAAAUGCAGGAGACGAUGACAGAGAUGUCAUUUUCCGUAAGGACUGCUGUAUAGGUGCUGCAUGGCUGUCGUCAGCUCGUGCCGUGAGGUGUUGGGUUAAGUCCCGCAACGAGCGCAACCCUUAUCAUUAGUUGCCAUCACGAAAGGUGGGGACUCUAAUGAGACUGCCUAGGUUAACUAGGAGGAAGGUGAGGAUGAUGUCAAGUCCGCAUGGCCUUUAUGUCCAGGGCUACACACGUGCUACAAUGGUCGGUACAGAGGGCUGCAAAUUCGCAAGAUAGAGCAAAUCCCAGAAAGCCGAUCUCAGUUCAGAUUGUGGUCUGCAACUCGACCACAUGAAGUCGGAAUUGCUAGUAAUGGCAGGUCAGCAACACUGCCGUGAAUACGUUCCCGGGCCUUGUACACACCGACAUA
rnacentral:rRNA from 1 species